GCUAUAGUAUGCACAGGUAGAGCAGAAUUCGAAUCUGACUACGGAUCAGAAGGUUGGGGGUUCGAAUCCCUCCGGGCGCA
rnacentral:tRNA from 2 species